GUCCUCUUGAAUUUAAUUUGAGGUUUAACCUGCCCACUGAAAUUUUAAAUGGCCGCAGUAAUUUGACUGUGCAAAGGUAGCAUAAUCAUUAGUUUUUUAAUUAAAAGCUUGUAUGAAGGGUUGGACGAGGUAAAAUCUGUCUCUAUUUAAUUAAUAUAGAAUUUAAUUUUUAAGUUAAAAAGCUUAAAUUUUAUUAAAAGACGAGAAGACCCUAUAGAUCUUUAUAUUAUUUAUAAUAAUUUUAAUUUAGAAUUUUUUAUUUUUUAUUAUAAAUAUUUAUUUUAUUGGGGUAAUAAAAAGAUUAAAUAAAUUCUUUUUUUAAUUUACAUUGAUUUAUGAUUAUAUGAUCCAAUUAUUUUGAUUAAAAGAUUAAGUUACCUUAGGGAUAACAGCGUAAUUUUUUUAGAGAGUUCAUAUCGAUAAAAAAGUUUGCGACCUCGAUGUUGGAUUAAAAAUUAUCUUAGGUGCAGAAGUUUAAGAUUUUGGUCUGUUCGACCAUUAAAUUUUU
rnacentral:rRNA from 1 species